rnacentral:rRNA from 1 species
UGGGGAAUAUUGCACAAUGGGCGCAAGCCUGAUGCAGCCAUGCCGCGUGUGUGAAGAAGGCCUUCGGGUUGUAAAGCACUUUCAGCGGGGAGGAAGGCGGUGAGGUUAAUAACCUCAUCGAUUGACGUUACCCGCAGAAGAAGCACCGGCUAACUCCGUGCCAGCAGCCGCGGUAAUACGGAGGGUGCAAGCGUUAAUCGGAAUUACUGGGCGUAAAGCGCACGCAGGCGGUCUGUCAAGUCGGAUGUGAAAUCCCCGGGUUCAACCUGGGAACUGCAUUCGAAGCUGGCAGGCUAGAGUCGUGUAGAGGGGGGUAGAAUUCCAGGUGUAGCGGUGAAAUGCGUAGAGAUCUGGAGGAAUACCGGUGGCGAAGGCGGCCCCCUGGACAAAGACUGACGCUCAGGUGCGAAAGCGUGGGGAGCAAACAGG